AGAGUUUGAUCCUGGCUCAGAACGAACGCUGGCGGCGUGCCUAACACAUGCAAGUCGUGCGGGAAAGUGGGGGCAACUCCACGAGUAGAGCGGCGCACGGGUGAGUAACACGUAGGUAACCUGCCUUCGGGACUGGGAUAACCUGUCGAAAGACGGGCUAAUACCAGAUAAGACCACGGGGGCUUUGGCCCCAGGGGUAAAAGGUGGCCUCUGCUUGCAAGCUACCACUCGGAGAUGGGCCUGCGCGCCAUUAGCUUGUUGGUGAGGUAACGGCUCACCAAGGCAAAGAUGGCUAGCUGGUCUGAGAGGAUGGCCAGCCACACUGGGACUGAGACACGGCCCAGACUCCUACGGGAGGCAGCAGUCGGGAAUUUUGGGCAAUGGGCGAAAGCCUGACCCAGCAACGCCGCGUGAAGGAUGAAAUCCCUCGGGAUGUAAACUUCGCAAGAAUAGGAAGAAUUAGUAGGGGUUAAUACCCCCUAUGAUGACGGUACUAUUUGUAAGCUCCGGCUAACUCCGUGCCAGCAGCCGCGGUAAUACGGGGGGAGCAAGCGUUGUUCGGAUUUACUGGGCGUAAAGGGCGCGUAGGCGGCCAGCACAAGUCAGUUGUGAAAUCUCCGGGCUUAACUCGGAAAGGUCAACUGAUACUGUGCGGCUAGAGUGCAGAAGGGGCAACUGGAAUUCUCGGUGUAGCGGUGAAAUGCGUAGAUAUCGAGAGGAACACCUGCGGCGAAGGCGGGUUGCUGGGCUGACACUGACGCUGAUGCGCGAAAGCCAGGGGAGCGAACGGGAUUAGAUACCCCGGUAGUCCUGGCCUUAAACGAUGGAUGCUUGGUGUCUGGGGUUUUAUAGUCCCCGGGUGCCGUAGCUAACGCGUUAAGCAUCCCGCCUGGGGAGUACGGUCGCAAGACUGAAACUCAAAGGAAUUGACGG
rnacentral:rRNA from 1 species